UUUAAUGAGAGUUUGAUCCUGGCUCAGGACGAACGCUGGCGGCGUGCCUAAUACAUGCAAGUAGAACGCUGAAGAGAGGAGCUUGCUCUUCUUGGAUGAGUUGCGAACGGGUGAGUAACGCGUAGGUAACCUGCCUUGUAGCGGGGGAUAACUAUUGGAAACGAUAGCUAAUACCGCAUAACAAUGGAUGACACAUGUCAUUUAUUUGAAAGGGGCAAUUGCUCCACUACAAGAUGGACCUGCGUUGUAUUAGCUAGUAGGUGAGGUAACGGCUCACCUAGGCGACGAUACAUAGCCGACCUGAGAGGGUGAUCGGCCACACUGGGACUGAGACACGGCCCAGACUCCUACGGGAGGCAGCAGUAGGGAAUCUUCGGCAAUGGGGGCAACCCUGACCGAGCAACGCCGCGUGAGUGAAGAAGGUUUUCGGAUCGUAAAGCUCUGUUGUAAGUCAAGAACGAGUGUGAGAGUGGAAAGUUCACACUGUGACGGUAGCUUACCAGAAAGGGACGGCUAACUACGUGCCAGCAGCCGCGGUAAUACGUAGGUCCCGAGCGUUGUCCGGAUUUAUUGGGCGUAAAGCGAGCGCAGGCGGUUUGAUAAGUCUGAAGUUAAAGGCUGUGGCUCAACCAUAGUUCGCUUUGGAAACUGUCAAACUUGAGUGCAGAAGGGGAGAGUGGAAUUCCAUGUGUAGCGGUGAAAUGCGUAGAUAUAUGGAGGAACACCGGUGGCGAAAGCGGCUCUCUGGUCUGUAACUGACGCUGAGGCUCGAAAGCGUGGGGAGCGAACAGGAUUAGAUACCCUGGUAGUCCACGCCGUAAACGAUGAGUGCUAGGUGUUGGAUCCUUUCCGGGAUUCAGUGCCGCAGCUAACGCAUUAAGCACUCCGCCUGGGGAGUACGACCGCAAGGUUGAAACUCAAAGGAAUUGACGGGGGCCCGCACAAGCGGUGGAGCAUGUGGUUUAAUUCGAAGCAACGCGAAGAACCUUACCAGGUCUUGACAUCCCGAUGCUAUUUCUAGAGAUAGAAAGUUACUUCGGUACAUCGGUGACAGGUGGUGCAUGGUUGUCGUCAGCUCGUGUCGUGAGAUGUUGGGUUAAGUCCCGCAACGAGCGCAACCCCUAUUGUUAGUUGCCAUCAUUCAGUUGGGCACUCUAGCGAGACUGCCGGUAAUAAACCGGAGGAAGGUGGGGAUGACGUCAAAUCAUCAUGCCCCUUAUGACCUGGGCUACACACGUGCUACAAUGGUUGGUACAACGAGUUGCGAGUCGGUGACGGCAAGCUAAUCUCUUAAAGCCAAUCUCAGUUCGGAUUGUAGGCUGCAACUCGCCUACAUGAAGUCGGAAUCGCUAGUAAUCGCGGAUCAGCACGCCGCGGUGAAUACGUUCCCGGGCCUUGUACACACCGCCCGUCACACCACGAGAGUUUGUAACACCCGAAGUCGGUGAGGUAACCUUUUGGAGCCAGCCGCCUAAGGUGGGAUAGAUGAUUGGGGUGAAGUCGUAACAAGGUAGCCGUAUCGGAAGGUGCGGCUGGAUCACCUCCUUU
rnacentral:rRNA from 3 species